GACGAACGCUGGCGGCGUGCUUAACACAUGCAAGUCGAGCGGUAAGGCCCUCGGGUACGACGAGCGGCGAACGGGUGGAGUAACACGUGGGUGGACCUCGCCCUUACGCUCUGGGAGUAAGCCUCGGGAAACGUAGGGUCGUAAUACCGGAUAUGACCUCAUGACGCAUGUUGUGGGGUGGAAAGCCUUGUGCGGCUAGGGAGUGGGCCCGCGGCCUAUCAGCUUGUUGGUGGGGU
rnacentral:rRNA from 1 species